rnacentral:ncRNA from 17 species
UUUUAGCCACAAAAUGCAAUGCAUUUUGAACGUUGGCUUUGCCAACGGCUCCGUAGGAGCGAACAAAAUUAGAAAUAAUUUUGUGAGUAAUAAUCGACCGC